rnacentral:tRNA from 1 species
UGGCUCAGUUGGUGAAGCAUCUGUCUGCAAUGCAGAAGACCUAGGUUCAAUUCCUGG